AACGAACGCUGGCGGCAUGCCUAACACAUGCAAGUCGAACGAGAUCUUCGGGUCUAGUGGCGCACGGGUGCGUAACGCGUGGGAAUCUGCCCUUGGGUUCGGAAUAACUUCGGGAAACUGAAGCUAAUACCGGAUGAUGACGUAAGUCCAAAGAUUUAUCGCCCAAGGAUGAGCCCGCGUAGGAUUAGCUAGUUGGUGGGGUAAAGGCCUACCAAGCCGACGAUCCUUAGCUGGUCUGAGAGGAUGAUCAGCCACACUGGGACUGAGACACGGCCCAGACUCCUACGGGAGGCAGCAGUGGGGAAUAUUGGACAAUGGGCGGAAAGCCUGAUCCAGCAAUGCCGCGUGAGUGAUGAAGGCC
rnacentral:rRNA from 1 species